rnacentral:rRNA from 1 species
AGACAGGUGGUGCAUGGUUGCGUCAGCUCGUGUCGUGAGAUGUUGGGUUAAGUCCCGCAACGAGCGCAACCCUUGUGUUUAGUGCAAACAGGUCAAGCUGUGCACUCUAGACAGACUGCCGUGGACAACACGGAGGAAGGUGGGGAUGACGUCAAAUCAUCAUGCCCCUUAUGAUCUGGGCUACACACGUGCUACAAUGGCCGGUACAACGGGCAGCGAAGGAGCGAUCCGGAGCGAAUCCUAAAAAGCCGGUCCCAGUUCGGAUUGCAGGCUGAAACUCGCCUACAUGAAGUUGGAGUUGCUAGUAAUCGCGAAUCAGAAUGUCGCGGUGAAUGCGUUCCCGGGUCGUU